UACACUCCUACGGGAGGCAGCAGUGGGGAAUAUUGCACAAUGGGCGCAAGCCUGAUGCAGCCAUGCCGCGUGUAUGAAGAAGGCCUUCGGGUUGUAAAGUACUUUCAGCGGGGAGGAAGGCGAUAAGGUUAAUAACCUUGUUGAUUGACGUUACCCGCAGAAGAAGCACCGGCUAACUCCGUGCCAGCAGCCGCGGUAAUACGGAGGGUGCAAGCGUUAAUCGGAAUUACUGGGCGUAAAGCGCACGCAGGCGGUCUGUCAAGUCGGAUGUGAAAUCCCCGGGCUCAACCUGGGAACUGCAUUCGAAACUGGCAGGCUAGAGUCUUGUAGAGGGGGGUAGAAUUCCAGGUGUAGCGGUGAAAUGCGUAGAGAUCUGGAGGAAUACCGGUGGCGAAGGCGGCCCCCUGGACAAAGACUGACGCUCAGGUGCGAAAGCGUGGGGAGCAAACAGGAUUAGAAACCCGAGUAGUCCCAUG
rnacentral:rRNA from 1 species